rnacentral:rRNA from 1 species
GAUGAACGCUGGCGGCGUGCCUAAUACAUGCAAGUCGAGCGAACAGAUGAGGAGCUUGCUCCUCUGACGUUAGCGGCGGACGGGUGAGUAACACGUGGAUAACCUACCUAUAAGACUGGGAUAACUUCGGGAAACCGGAGCUAAUACCGGAUAAUAUAUUGAACCGCAUGGUUCAUUAGUGAAAUACGGUUUUUCUGUCACUUAUAGAUGGAUCCGCGCCGCAUUAGCUAGUUGGUAAGGUAACGGCUUACCAAGGCAACGAUGCGUAGCCGACGUGAGAGGGGGAUCGGCCACACUGGAACUGAGACACGGUCCAGACUCCUACGGGAGGCAGCAGUAGGGAAUCUUCCGCAAUGGGCGAAAGCCUGACGGAGCAACGCCGCGUGAGUGAUGAAGGUCUUCGGAUCGUAAAACUCUGUUAUUAGGGAAGAACAAAUGUGUAAGUAACUAUGCACGUCUUGACGGUACCUAAUCAGAAAGCCACGGCUAACUACGUG